rnacentral:rRNA from 1 species
UACGUAGGUGGCAAGCGUUGUCCGGAAUUACUGGGUGUAAAGCGCGUGUAGGCGGGAGGCCAAGUCUGCUGUGAAAUCGCCCGGCUCAACUGGGCGGGGUCGGUGGAAACUGGUCACCUGGAGGACGGUAGAGGCGAGUGGAAUUCCCGGUGUAGUGGUGAAAUGCGUAGAGAUCGGGAGGAACACCGGUGGCGAAGGCGGGUCUCUGGGCAGUAACUGACGCUGAGGAGCGAAAGCGUGGGGAGCGAACAGG